AGCGAACGUUUGCGGCGGGCCUAACACAUGCAAGUCGAACGGGCUAGCAAUAGUCAGUGGCGCACGGGUGCGUAACACGUGGGUAAUCAACCCUUCAGCUCGGGAUAACGCCUUGAAAGGGGCGCUAAUACCGGAUACGACGCGAGGAGCUUCGGCUGCUUGCGGGAAAGAUUCGCAAGGAUCUCUGAAGGACGAGCCUGCGGCCCAUCAGCUAGUUGGUGAGGUAAGAGCUCACCAAGGCGAAGACGGGUAGCUGGUCUGAGAGGAUGAUCAGCCACACUGGAACUGAGACACGGUCCAGACUCCUACGGGAGGCAGCAGUGGGGAAUAUUGCGCAAUGGGCGAAAGCCUGACGCAGCCACGCCGCGUGGGCGAAGAAGGCCUC
rnacentral:rRNA from 1 species